rnacentral:piRNA from 1 species
UACACACUAUGGCAUGUUUUGUUAGAGUGU